GACGAACGCUGGCGGCGUGCUUAACACAUGCAAGUCGAACGGAAAGGCCCUGCUUUUGUGGGGUGCUCGAGUGGCGAACGGGUGAGUAACACGUGAGUAACCUGCCCUUGACUUUGGGAUAACUUCAGGAAACUGGGGCUAAUACCGGAUAGGAGCUCCUGCUGCAUGGUGGGGGUUGGAAAGUUUCGGCGGUUGGGGAUGGACUCGCGGCUUAUCAGCUUGUCGGUGGGGUAGUGGCUUACCAAGGCUUUGACGGGUAGCCGGCCUGAGAGGGUGACCGGCCACAUUGGGACUGAGAUACGGCCCAGACUCCUACGGGAGGCAGCAGUGGGGAAUAUUGCACAAUGGGCGGAAGCCUGAUGCAGCAACGCCGCGUGCGGGAUGACGGCCUUCGGGUUGUAAACCGCUUUCGCCUGUGACGAAGCGUGAGUGACGGUAAUGGGUAAAGAAGCACCGGCUUACUACGUG
rnacentral:rRNA from 1 species